rnacentral:misc_RNA from 1 species
AUUAAAUGCAAUAAAUAACUGGCAAUCAACGUAUAAAUAUAAAAAAAACUGUCAAGUGAUUCACCCGCUCUUGGCCAUUUAACUUGUUGAAUUGUGAUCAGAGGGUUAGCUUACGAAAAUGGAUAUUACGGUGCACGAUAAUGGCUACCAGAAUAGCACCUAUUGCCAGGCGAGUAAUCGCACCACACUCUUCAUCAGCGCCUACAAUGGUAUACCGGAGACUUUGAUAUUGAACACGAUCUUCUGGGUGCUGCUCAUUCUGUUGUUUACGAUGCUGCGACAUCAGGCGAGCGACUAUCGUCUGGCUCUGGUCAAUGCCAAUGGGACUAAGAAGCGUUGGACGGAAAUAUUCUAUUCCCGAGCCGCCAGCGUUGUGGAACCACAGCCGAGCACGUCAAAUCCCUCGAAUCCCUCGAAUCCAAUGCCCCGGCCAAGCACAACAUCUCAGCAGAGCGACUCGACACCGCUGUCGCCCAUCCAAACCGAACCGGGUCUCUUCAAUUGGAUUCGGGUGACCUUGAAGCUGCGCAAGGAAACAAUUCUGCUGCACUCCGGUCCGGAUGCCGUUCAUUAUUUGUCCUUUCAGCAGCAUAUGAUGGCUGUCAUGGCGGUGGUCACCGUCAUUUCGCUAGCUAUCAUCUUGCCAAUCAACUUUCUGAAUGGCCCGCGCGAUGAGCUGUACGAUGUGAAUGCCUUUGGACGCACCACAAUGGCCAAUCUGCAGCCGGAAUCACCCUGGCUGUGGGUACACACCAUCAUAACCAUCCUGUAUAUACCGCUGGUGGUGCUCAUCAUGCGGCGCUCCUCGGGUCGCAACGCCUUCAAGAAGGCUGCCACGCGCACCAUCAUGAUAUCAAAUAUAUCAAACAGUGAUCGGAACAAGACCGUCAUACGCAACUAUAUGCAGGAGCUGUUUCCGGAUGUCACCAUCGAGAGCGUCAGCAUUGCGUACAACAUUUCACGUCUCUUCGUGCGCAAUGCGGAGUUUGAGAGAGUGCACGAAGCGCGUGUCUACUGUGAACAUCAUCGGGACCGGGACACGCUGAUGGCCAAGCCGGAGAUGUGCUCGUGCAAGAAGGAGAAUGCCUACGAGUAUUAUCAACGCGAAGAGCGUAAGCUCUCGGGCGAUGUGGCACGUUUGCGUGCCUCAACGCUGAAUGAGCCCUUGGAUAUUGCCUUCUUGACCGUGUCCACGGUGCAGGAGGCACAGAAUAUUGUAAAUCAUUUCACACCAGGCACAUAUAGGCAAUGGCACAUCGUGUUCGCACCCUCGCCGGAUGAUAUCUUCUGGGAGAACCUGAAUGUCAACAAGAGCCAUUGGUAUUUGAAAUUUGUGUGCGUGAACGUUGUGCUCUUCAUAGUCCUGUUCUUCCUGACAACACCGGCCAUGGUGGUCAAUUUGCUGAACAGCCGUCCGUGGGUGUUGGAUACGGAGAACAAAAUCUCGCCACUUGUCUCUGAGUUCUUGCCCACAUUGAUGCUGUGGACGCUGUCGGCACUGAUGCCAGUGAUUGUCUCUAUAUCAGAUAAAUGGAUGGGCCAUUACACGCGAUCCAAACAGAACUACUCGAUAAUGUGCAAAUGCUUUGGCUACCUGCUGCUGAUGAUUCUCAUCCUGCCCUCAUUGGGCUUGACGUCGGCGCAGGCACUUCUGGAGUGGGGCCUGACGAACGACACGGGGCGUUGGCAGUGCAUCUUCUUGCCGGAUCGUGGCUCAUUCUAUGUCAACUAUAUUAUAACUGCUGCCUUUAUUGGUACCUCGUUGGAGCUGUUGCGGUUCCCGGAGCUCAUUGUCUACAUUUGGGCGUUAUUGAAGGCCACUUCCAAGGCGGAGACGCCCUAUAUACGUAAAUCCAUAUUGAUUGAGUUCCCAUUUGGCACACACUACGCCUGGACCACACUCGUCUUCACCAUAUCGAUAGUGUACAGCGUAUUUUGCCCAUUGAUCAUGCCAUUCGCCAUGAUCUAUAUAUGUCUCAAGCAUAUGGUGGAUCGCUACAAUCUGUACUUCGCCUACGGACCAUCCAAUAUGAUAUCACGGAAGGGAGGCAAAAUUCAUUCCACAGCGGUGACCAUGACCAAGUUUUCGGUACUCAUUUUGGUGCUGGUUAUGGCCAUGAUAUGCUAUUUCCGUGGCGAUGACGGCAUGGCUAGAUUCCUGAUACUGAUCAUCACGCUAGCUAUAACCGUAACACUGUUUAUCUUCAUGUCGCCGAUCAAACGUUGUGCGGCCACGCGACGUCCAAGUAUUGUGGAAAUCGCCGGCCCCGCACCCGCCUACAUACCGGACGUGCUCCGAGCUACAACCACACAGACCAGCGCCAGGCCGUCGACAGUCGGUUUUCCUGGAUACGGCUCGGACAAUAUAUCUGAAUACGAUAGCUCCCAGUAUAGUGUCAAUAGCGUGGAGGCGUAAGCGAAGCUAGUUUCUGUUGCUCCUUUCCUUGGCUAGAAAGAGACUCGCUCGAAAAAAAUUUAUAUGGACUUUGCUUGCAAAAAUCGAUAAUGAUCAGAAAAUGUGAUAGAAAUUAGCCUCAUGAUUUGCGUCUGAGUUCGGUUGCGAAACGCGUUUUUAAAAAACACGUGCCCCGCUGAGCCCCCUUCUAUUAAAAUUAUUAUU